rnacentral:misc_RNA from 1 species
ACUAGAUCUAAAGUAAAACUCCUUAAUCUUUUAAAAGAAAGUUGCAAGGAGAUAAUCAGUGGGUAUCAAUUUGAUCCCAAAAAUUAUGUGGAACUAGCAUUAAAUAGCAGCAAUUGAUAGAAAAAUAUUAAAUUGAAGUUGGCUAAUGUAGAUAUCACCCAAAUAGGUUUAAACUUAAAUUGAAUUCAGUUGAAAAUUUGCACAUGAACAACUUUCUCUCAAGAGAUUCAAGUAAUCCCAAGAUCAAGUAUACACACAGGAAUUUAUUAACUUGCAGUUGUA